CUUAAUUUGACUCAACACGGGGAAACUCACCAGGUCCAGACGUAAUAAGGAUUGACAAGUUAGAGACUUCUCUUGAUCUUACGGGUGGUGGUGCAUGGCCGUUUUUAGUCCUUGGAGUGAUUUGUCUGCUUAAUUGCGAUAACGGACGAGACCUUAACCUGCUAAAUAGGGCUGCGAGCAUCUGCUCGUGGGCUCUUCUUAGAGGGACUAUGGGUAUCAAACCCAUGGAAGUUUGAGGCAACAACAGGUCUGUGAUGCCCAAGGGCGAAUUCGC
rnacentral:rRNA from 1 species